UAAGGACUGUUGACCCGUGCCGCUACAACCUUCUCUCUGCCGCUGCUCCCCCAAUCGCCGCUCCGCCGCUGCGGGUUGCCGGUCUACUCCGGUGAGUACUCCUCUGCAGAGGAGGAGAGCUCUUGGUCCUAGUGGUGCACGCCAUUUGGGAGGCACCGGGCUGCUUCGCCGUGGGGGAUGUUGACCCACGUGCAGAUGAAGCCCGGCCUCCGAUUCGCUGCCGCCGUCGCGUUCCAGCGGGCUGGAGCCCGCGCCGGUAGUGAGGUGCAGUGGAUCCGCCGGCCUCAGUGCCGGGCUUGAAGAAUGGGGCGGCGCCGCGUCGUGCCGCCAUGGUGCGGCGCGCUGGGCCGCCGCCGUCGCCGCUGCUGUCGGCGCGGAUGAUGUCCUCGUGCGUGCCGAAGCCUGGAGGAGCCGGAGUUGGGGAACGCGCCUCCACGGGACGGAGUCCCGGGAUGAGGUCGUUGGGGCGGCGCGGCUCCGGUGUUGAAGAUGAAGACGCGGGCGUCGGCGAGGGAAGACGGCAUGGUGGAGGCGUCAUCCAGCGCAGUGGGGACUAUGGGGUUGCCGGGGCCGCGGCUUGGCGCAGUGGAAGCCGAAGCGGUUCCGGGGCCGCGACAAAGCGCAAUGCGGGCGGCGCAGGGGCCGCGGCUUGGCGCGGUGGAAGCGGAAGCGGUUCCGGUGCCGCGACGAAGCGCAGUGCGGGCGGCGCAGGGGUCGCGUCGUGGCGCGGUGCAGAUGGCGCCAGGUCCUCGAUGCGGCGGUGGAGAUGUGGGCGACGGCCGCCGACGCGCAUGGCGUGAAGGCGACGACCACCACGACGAGGGCCGCCGACGCGCAGAGUUUCGGCGUGGCGGUUGCCGACGCCAGGGUGCCCGUUGCCGCGGCGUGGAGGAUGCGCUCCCGCGUUCUGGACGCGGAGGCCGUGGUGAAAACGGCGUGGCCGCGGCGUGGAGGAUGCGCUCCCGCGUUCUGGACGCGGAGGCCGUGGUGAAAACGGCGUGCAGGGCGUCCUUGGCGGUGAAGUCCGAGUGCAGGGCGACGGCGGACUUGGCGAAGGACGUCGCAGAAGGCUCUGACUAGCGUGUUCACGGACGGUACGUCAUUCCUGUUCUUCUUCCUCGUCGAGAUCCAGAACGGCGAUCUCCAAGCGGGAGUGCUGAUUACGUGUUUGAUUUAGUCUAAAACUGGAGGUAAAUGAUUCCCUCGUUAAUCAUCAAUGAACAGUGAUUACAUAUUUACAUGGGUUCAAAGGAACGGAAGGGACACGCCUGUGUUAACUUUUUCACGGGUGCUAAUUCGCGAGAUAAAUUCAAUGAGCCUAAUUAAUCCAUAAUAUGAUAUGCUACAGUGAUGCUACAGUAAUCAUCUGCUAAUCAUGGUUCAAUAUACCCCAUUAGAUUCGUCUCGCGAAUUAGUCCUGGGGUUCUGCAAUUAGUUUGGUAAUUAGAUUUUAUUUAAUACUUCUAAAUGAUACCAUUCUAUUAUUUAUGUGACGGGUCUAAACUUUAGACCUUAGGCCCUACAACUGGAUGUAAAUAAUUCCCUUGUUAAUCAUAUCAAUGAACAGUGAUUACAUAUUUACAUGGGUUCAAGGGAACGGAAGGGACGCGCCCCUCCCGAACAGGCCUCUGGUAACGGACGCGUCCCGUCAUUAGCGGGAUUAACUAACUAAUCCACGUGUUAAUCACGUGGUUAAUGCUAAUUGAUCCCACACUAAUAAUUUCUAACAAAAGUGAUUGCGGCCCACUCCAAAACAAACAAGUGUAACGGCAUGGGCCGUCUCUGUAACUGGAUUACGGUCCGAAAUCGUUGGGCCACCGGACAGGCAGCGAAAAGUUUAGCCUAACCACCCGAAGUUCCUUUUUUUUUGCAUGAAACGAACUAGCGGAAGAACAAAGCAUCGCCCCGGUGGGCGGCGACCUCUUGAAGUGCCAAACAACGUGGCUGGAAACCAGAUGCCACGACACUAAACAAUUUUUCCAGCCUACCAGCAGAAAGCUACCGACCAAACUUGGCACCCAGAAGUCAUUUGCAGAACACUACACUACUCCAGUAUGGGAUUGCUUCAGGGAGUGGACAUGCCAUUGCACUGGCCAAGAAUGCAGCACAACUUAAUCGUCAAGCAAAUUUCGCGCGUGGCUCAUGUUCUCUGGUUUAAAUUCCUUGUUCUCCCGUUUCUUCAUCUUGUCUUACAUUAAGACCUAUGGUCUGAAAAUUUUGCGGUCAUACAUUCAGUACACACCUCGGUGACUUCGGUA